rnacentral:lncRNA from 1 species
UCCAGUAGAAUAAUUAAGGUAGAAUAUAGGAACCUCUUAAUUUAUACAACACUCCUUUAAUUUAUUUAUUGUAAUAUUACUAAUUAAUAAUGCAUUUUAUAAUAUACGAUGAUUACACACGUUUUUAUUCAAUCACUUGACGAACAGUCCCAGAAGAGGCAUAUAUAUCCUCUACUAGCUAUAUAGGGAAUACAUAGUGAGUAGUGACAAGGUAACAACGUUGAUCUAGAAGCUUUCAAUGCCGUAGGUCACAUUCAUUGGAUUCAUGACGGAUGAGAUUAUAUUCUUUUUGCAUUGACUUUGACAAUUUUGCGGAGCACAAUAACUUUCUGUUGUUCCACACCAACUCCAAAUACUACAACACUCAUUGCUUUUACAUUUUCCACCACCACCUCCCAUUCCACAUCGCGGAUAUGGAGGUGGAGGUGUAGGUGGAGGUGAGGGUGAAGGUGUGUGUGGACAUUGACUUUGACAAUUUUGCGGAGCACAAUAACUUUCUGUUGUUCCACACCAACUCCAAAUACUACAACACUCAUUGCUUUUACAUUUUCCACCACCACCUCCCAUUCCACAUCGCGGAUAUGGAGGUGGAGGUGUAGGUGGAGGUGAGGGUGAAGGUGUGUGUGGACAUUGACUUUGACAAUUUUGCGGAGCACAAUAACUUUCUGUUGUUCCACACCAACUCCAAAUACUACAACACUCAUUGCUUUUACAUUUUCCACCACCACCUCCCAUUCCACAUCGCGGAUAUGGAGGUGGAGGUGAAGGUGCAGGUGGAGGUGGGGAUGGAGUCGGAGGUGGAGGUGAGGGUGAAGGGGGAGGAGGGGAUGGAGUCGGAGGUGGAGGUGAGGGUGAAGGGGGAGGUGGGGAUGGAGGUGGAGGUGAAGGUGAAGGCGGAGGUGGGGAUGGAGGUGGAGGUGAAGGUGCAGGUGGAGGUGGGGAUGGAGUCGGAGGUGGAGGUGAGGGUGAAGGGGGAGGUGGGGAUGGAGGUGGAGGUGAAGGUGAAGGCGGAGGUGGGGAUGGAGGUGGAGGUGAAGGUGUGUGUGGACAUUGACUUUGACAAUUUUGCGGAGCACAAAAACUUUCUGUUGUUCCACACCAACUCCAAAUACUACAACACUCAUUGCUUUUACAUUUUCCAUCACCACCUCCCAUUCCACAUCGCGGAUAUGGAGGUGGAGGUGAAGGUUCAUGCGGAGGUGGGGAUGAAAGUGGCAUGCCAAAGGUUUCAUUAUGAGGAAGAGAUAGCCUAUCGGCUGAGACAAGGAACAAAUAUUGCAAAGUCACCACACAUAAAACACUUAUAAUUAAGGUCUCCUUCAUU